AUUGAACGCUGGCGGCAGGCUUAACACAUGCAAGUCGAGCGGGGUGAUGGUGCUUGCACUAUCACUUAGCGGCGGACGGGUGAGUAAUGCUUAGGAAUCUGCCUAUUAGUGGGGGACAACAUCUCGAAAGGGAUGCUAAUACCGCAUACGUCCUACGGGAGAAAGCAGGGGAUCACUUGUGACCUUGCGCUAAUAGAUGAGCCUAAGUCGGAUUAGCUAGUUGGUGGGGUAAAGGCCUACCAAGGCGACGAUCUGUAGCGGGUCGGAGGGGAUGAUCCGCCACACUGGGACGGGGACCCGGACCUGACCCCGAAGGGAGGCGGCAGUGGGGAAGAUUGGGCGAUGGGGGGUACCCUGCUCCAGCCGUGCCGCGUGUGUGAAGAAGGCCUUAUGGUUGUAAAGCACUUUAAGCGAGGAGGAGGCUCUUUUGGUUAAUACCCAAGAUGAGUGGAGGUUACUCGCAGAAUAAGCACCGGCUAAGUCUGUGCCAGCCGCCGCAGUAA
rnacentral:rRNA from 1 species